AUUGAACGCUGGCGGCAUGCCUUACACAUGCAAGUCGAACGGCAGCACGGGUGCUUGCACCUGGUGGCGAGUGGCGAACGGGUGAGUAAUACAUCGGAACAUGUCCUGUAGUGGGGGAUAGCCCGGCGAAAGCCGGAUUAAUACCGCAUACGAUCUACGGAUGAAAGCGGGGGACCUUCGGGCCUCGCGCUAUAGGGUUGGCCGAUGGCUGAUUAGCUAGUUGGUGGGGUAAAGGCCUACCAAGGCGACGAUCAGUAGCUGGUCUGAGAGGACGACCAGCCACACUGGGACUGAGACACGGCCCAGACUCCUACGGGAGGCAGCAGUGGGGAAUUUUGGACAAGGGGCGAAAGCCUGAUCCAGCAAUGCCGCGUGUGUGAAGAAGGCCUGCGGGUUGUAAAGCACUUUUGUCCGGAAAGAAAUCCUUGGCCCUAAUACGGUCGGGGGAUGACGGUACCGGAAGAAUAAGCACCGGCUAACUACGU
rnacentral:rRNA from 1 species